rnacentral:snRNA from 1 species
AUACUUACCUUGUUGGGGUGUUGGCGAUCAAGAAGGCCGGACGCCUGGAGGAACUUCGUGCAUUGCACAGCGCGCAGAGGUACCUCCACCGAUCUCCUCCGGGGGCUCGGCCAGCGGAAUUUUUUAUUUCAUCCAUCAGCACUUCGGUGUUGGUC